CCUGUGAUCACAGAUUUAACGGCCGCGGUAUUUUGACCGUGCAAAGGUAGCGCAAUCACUUGUCUUUUAAAUGAAGACCUGUAUGAAUGGCAUAACGAGGGCUUAACUGUCUCCCCUUUUUAGUCAAUGAAAUUGAUCUCCCCGUGCAGAAGCGGGGAUGAUUACAUAAGACGAGAAGACCCUGUGGAGCUUUAGACAUAAAGAAGGACCAUGUUAAAUCAACCUAUCUUAAAGGCUUAAACUAUAGGCCCCCUUCUUACUGUUUUUGGUUGGGGCGACCGCGGGGUAAUAAUUAACCCCCACGUAGAACAAGGGACAUCCCCUUUGAAAAAAGAGCUACCGCUCUAAUUAGCAGAACUUCUGACUAGCAAUGAUCCGGGAAUACCGAUCAACGGACCGAGUUACCCCAGGGAUAACAGCGCAAUCCCCUUCCAGAGCCCAUAUCGACAAGGGGGUUUACGACCUCGAUGUUGGAUCAGGAC
rnacentral:rRNA from 1 species